AACCAAGUUUGUUAUUGGUAUGAGUUUCCGUGUUCAUGCACACUUCCUCAGCUCAUUCGGUAUCUGAAGAAGUGUGCAUGCACACGAAAGCUCAUACCAAUAACAAACUUAGUUGG